rnacentral:rRNA from 1 species
GCCCAACAACUAGCCUAUUCAGUAACCUCAACACAUGAAUAACACUACCCCCCUUCAAUCUAAAUAAUAACACAACUAAACCAUUUUUCCCCUCUAGUACCGGGUGACAGAACAAGAAAUAAGCGCGAUAGAAAAAGUACCGCAAGGGAACGUUGAAAUAGAAAUGAAAUAACCCAGCAAAGCACAAAAAAGCAGAGCUUAGCCCUCGUACCUUUUGCAUCAUGUUUUAGCCAGAGCCCCUCAAGCAAAAAGCAUUUUAGUUUGACAGCCCGAAACUAAGUGAGCUACUCCAAGACAGCCUAACAAAUAGGGCCAACCCGUCUCUGUGGCAAAAGAGUGGGAAGAGCUUCGAGUAGAGGUGAUAAACCUACCGAACUAAGUUAUAGCUGGUUGCCUAAAAAUUGAAUAAAAGUUCAGCCUCUUGAAUUCUUCCUUCUCCAAUGAACACCCCUAAUUUGAGAUACAAAAGAAGCCCAGAGAGUUAGUCGAAGGGGGUACAGCCCCUCCGAACCAAGAUACAACUUUACCAAGGCGGAUAAGGAUCACAAUAACUAAGG